rnacentral:rRNA from 1 species
GACAGAGGUUGCAAACGUUGUUCGGAAUUACUGGGCAUAAAGAGCACGUAGGCGGUCCGCUAAGUCAGACGUGAAAUCCCCCGGCUCAACCGGGGAAGGGGCGCCGAUACGACCGACCUGGAGCGACGUAGGGGGGACUGGAACUUCCGGUGGAGCGGUGAAAUGCGUUGAGAUCGGAAGGAACGCCCGUGGCGAAAGCGAGUCCCUGGACGUCGGCUGACGCUGAGACGCGAAAGCCAGGGGAGCGAACGGG